GACGAACGCUGGCGGCGUGCUUAACACAUGCAAGUCGAACGCUGAAGCUUGGUGCUUGCACUGGGUGGAUGAGUGGCGAACGGGUGAGUAAUACGUGAGUAACCUGCUCUUGACUCUGGGAUAAGCCUGGGAAACUGGGUCUAAUACUGGAUACGACAUGCCACUGCAUGGUGGUGUGUGGAAAGGGUUUUACUGGUUUUGGAUGGGCUCACGGCCUAUCAGCUUGUUGGUGGGGUAAUGGCCUACCAAGGCGACGACGGGUAGCCGGCCUGAGAGGGUGACCGGCCACACUGGGACUGAGACACGGCACAGACUCCUACGGGAGGCAGCAGUGGGGAAGAUUGCACAAUGGGCGGAAGCCUGAUGCAGCGACGCCGCGUGAGGUAUGACGGCCUUCGGGUUGUAAACCUCUUUCAGCACGGAAGAAGCGAGAGUGACGGUACGUGCAGAAGAAGCGCCGGCUAACUACGUG
rnacentral:rRNA from 1 species